rnacentral:rRNA from 1 species
GUUGAACGCUGGCUACAGGCUUAACACAUGCAAGUCGAGGGGAAACGACGGGGAAGCUUGCUUCCCCGGGCGUCGACCGGCGCACGGGUGAGUAACGCGUAUCCAACCUGCCUCUGACUGAGGGAUAACCCGUCGAAAGUCGGCCUAAUACCUCAUGGCAUCGUCUGCGGGCAUCCAACGACGAUUAAAGAUUUCAUCGGUCAGAGAUGGGGAUGCGUCUGAUUAGCUUGUUGGCGGGGUAACGGCCCACCAAGGCGACGAUCAGUAGGGGUUCUGAGAGGAAGGUCCCCCACAUUGGAACUGAGACACGGUCCAAACUCCUACGGGAGGCAGCAGUGAGGAAUAUUGGUCAAUGGGCGAGAGCCUGAACCAGCCAAGUAGCGUGCAGGAUGACGGCACUAUGGGUUGUAAACUGCUUUUAUGCGGGGAUAAAGUGAGGGACGUGUCCUUCAUUGCAGGUACCGCAUGAAUAAGGACCGGCUAAUUCCGUG